rnacentral:rRNA from 1 species
UACGUAGGGGGCGAGCGUUACCCGGAUUUACUGGGCGUAAAGCGCGUGUAGGCGGCUGGUCAAGCGUGGUGUGAAAUCUCCGGGCUCAACCCGGAAACUGCAUUGCGAACUGACCUAGCUGGAGUGCAGGAGAGGGCAGCGGAAUUCCCGGUGUAGCGGUGAAAUGCGUAGAUAUCAGGAGGAACACCCGGUGGCGAAGGCGGGGACUCUGGGGCCG